rnacentral:tmRNA from 1 species
GGGGAUGUCAUGGUUUCGACGGAGAUAGUGAACCUCGGGCAGCGAGUAGUGUUGAGUACCACUUAAAACGGCUUAACUUUUAAAUAUAAACGCUAACGAUUACGAAUUAGCUUACGCUGCCUAAUUGCAGCGUUGUCUCCUCCGGAAUUACCGCAUUUCGGACUGAGGCAUCAUUUAAGCGGUGAACGUGAGCGGAAAAGCGUUUCGGUUUCCGCCAUGCAUCAGAAACUACUGAUGCCGUAGCUUUGGUUAUGGAGCAGCGGCAAAGGGAAUGUGAAGCAUAACCUGCACUCGGAGAAGCCCGGGCGGAAUUAUUUUCGGACACGAGUUCGAUUCUCGUCAUCUCCACCA